rnacentral:rRNA from 1 species
UACGUAGGGUGCAAGCGUUGUUCGGAAUUACUGGGCGUAAAGCGCGCGUAGGCGGGCUUGUAUGUCGGUUGUGAAAGCCCUGGGCUUAACCUGGGAAUGGCUGCCGAAACUGCAAGUCUUGAGUGCCUAAGAGGAUGGCGGAAUUCCCGGUGUAGAAGUGAAAUUCGUAGAGAUCGGGAAGAACACCUGAGGCGAAGGCGGCUAUCUGGUCCGUAAUUGACGCUGAGGCGCGAAAGCGUGGGGAGCAAACAGG